CCUACGGGCGGCAGCAGUAGGGAAUCUUUCACAAUGGGCGAAAGCCUGAUGGAGCAACGCCGCGUGCAGGAUGAAGGCCUUCGGGUUGUAAACUGCUUUUAUAAGCGAGAAAUAUGAUGGUAACUUAUGAAUAAGGAUCGGCUAACUACGUGCCAGAAGCCGCGGUCAUACGUAGGAUCCGAGCAUUAUCCGGAGUGACUGGGUGUAAAGAGUUGCGUAGGUGGCAUAAUAAGUAGCUAGUGAAAUCUGGUGGCUCAACCAUUCAGACUAUUAGCUAAACUGUUAAGCUCGAGACCGUUAGGGGUAACUGGAAUUUCUAGUGUAGGAGUGAAAUCCGUAGAUAUUAGAAGGAACACCAAUAGCGUAGGCAGGUUGCUGGGACGGUUCUGACACUAAGGCACGAAAGCGUAGGGAGCAAACGGGAUUAGAUACCCGUGUAGUC
rnacentral:rRNA from 1 species